AAACCAUGACUAAGACACUUUCUCAACAACUCCUUAUAUCUCUCCCAUGCUUCAUGAAAAUUUUUAGACUCAGAUUGUUGAAAAGUUGAAAUCUCAUGCUUAAGCUU